rnacentral:rRNA from 1 species
UACGGAGGGGACUAGCGUUGUUCGGAAUUACUGGGCGUAAAGGGCGCGUAGGCGGCUUUGCAAGUGACGGGUGAAAUCCCUCGGCUUAACCGAGGAACUGCCUGUCAGACUGCAUGGCUUGAGACCGGGAGAGGUGAGUGGAAUUCCCAGUGUAGCGGUGAAAUGCGUAGAUAUUGGGAGGAACACCAGUGGCGAAGGCGGCUCACUGGACCGGUACUGACGCUGAGGCGCGAAAGCGUGGGGAGCAAACAGG